rnacentral:lncRNA from 1 species
CAGUGCUUGGGAUGGGAUGGUUGGGCAGCCCCCACUGAAAUCACCCUUCAGGCUGUUGGUGGAGACCUCAACUGGCCCCAAAAAGCAUGGUGGUGUCCGUGCAGCUUCCCAUUGUUCUGGCUAGAUGGUGCCUACCCCUGCCAGGUGAAGCCAAUUCUCCUUAACUCCAGCUCCCAAGGAGAUCUGAAGAAGGGAGGGAGCUGAAGAAUGACUGUGCAACUCCAAAUGCCGACCAAACUCCCCCAGUGGCCUCUACCAUCCCACCCCUAGGGCAGCGGUGCGUGGUCCUCCCUUCAGGUGAGCAGCUCAGGGGAGUUUCUUCUCUAAAGAACAGCAAUUCCUGUCCCUCUCCUUUUGCUCAGGGUGUGGGGAAACUUCAAAAUGCCACUUCCAAGGGAAAACAGGCAGCUUGAUCCAUGAGCUGGCAGCUCACUCUUGAAAUGAUUGAUUUUGAGAGAGCUUCAGGGGACCACCACAUACUUUUCACACUGGAAUGUAUCUCCCUUAUAGCUGGCAUGUCAAAGAGAGCUGAGUGGUGUCUCUGUGCAGCCAGCCAGUAUGGAUCCAGCUGGUGGGAUCUCAGCCAUGCCUUGUGCUCUGGAAUUCAAACCUCAUGACAGGUCCUUCAUCUGACAGUCAGCUGUCAGGUACAGAGGAACACAACGUUCCUGAUUCAAAACAGGUCAUUUCAAAGAAUGGUUUCAGAGGGAAUCAGAUCAGAGCUCAGAUCUUUGCACAGUGCUUGGACCAGCUCCUGUCAUGUAAUGGGGUAAGAGCCAUUAAAGCUUUUGGAUAUUUUGCUUUUUUAAGUUUAAUUUCCAUUCAGUAGUGCCAAAGCGCUCUGAGGUCUUUUAAAGGAGGCAAAACAGCUAGAGAAAACAAUUUCCAAAUUUAAGGGUCAUAGAAGCUGUGGCCACCCCAUCCCUGCAAGGCCAGGUUGGACGGACCUGGUGUAGUGGGAGGUGUCCCUACCCAUGGCAGGGGUGGAACUGGAUGGGCUUUAAGGUCCCUCCCAGCCCAGACCAUUCUGUGGUUCCAUGAGACACCCAACAAGGAUCAGCUCUUGGAGGAAGUGAAAGUUCCCAGUGGGAUGUGACCGGCGUGGGCUGGAUUUGGGUGUCCCAUGUCCAAAGCCACAGAGACCAUAUCCCACCCCUCCUGGCACUCCCUGGAGUGUCACUGUGCCCAGUCAGGUCCCCGGGGUGUCAGAGAGCAGAGACUCCUCACCCUCUGUCAAUUAGAGGGUGUCACACGGUGACACAUCCCAAAUGCCACCUGCCAGGCCUUCCCAAGGGAAGCAGGAGGCUGACACCUGAGCUCUGCAUUUUUCCUGGGAUGGCCAGUGCUGCUGGGAGCUGCUG